rnacentral:lncRNA from 1 species
GGUCUUCACCAUUUUAAUCCCACACCACUUUGAUCAUGGGAACCGUGUUCUUCCUCAUUGCCUUCUCUGACCGAUCUACGGUACGAACCGGCCUCGUUUCAAGGUUCUUACCCAGAUCGGCAGGAAUCUCAGGCAAAACAAUGUCCUGAUCCGUCAAGCACUUUCGGAGUUGGGAUACAUGGAAUUAUUGUGAUAUGCAUCCAUUGCUGAUGGCAAGUUCAACUUGUAUGCCACUGCACCCUCUCUAUGAUCCUAAACAGACCUAAGUAUCUAGGAUCCAGUUUCUUUCGUCCAGAAAUUGUGGUCCUACCCUUGAAGGUGAUCAUCUUGAGAUACACUAAGUCAUCGACCUCAAAC